GUCAAGUCGUUAAACUGAACAAUUGACAGUCGUUAAACCAAACGAACCAAAAUCAAAUUCUACUCAAUUUGACGCCAAGUCGUUAAACUGCGCAAAUCAAAUGAACUCAAAUCAAUUUGACUGCCAAGUCAUUAAAUUGAGUAAAUUAAUCUCAAUUUGACUACUAAGUCACUAAACUGAGCAAAUCAAACCAAACUCAUUCUUGACCGUCAAAUCGUUAAACCGAACAAAUCAAUUUCGACCGACUACCGUGUCAGUAAGCUAAGCAACCUGAUGUCGAUUGACCUACCAUGUCUAUAAAUUGAGCAUUUUUGUCACGCCCCGCGACCGCUACCAAUUUGGCUCGGCCCGGGCACGUCGAACAGACGCCGGACGGACAGCACCUCCCCUGUCCGCCCAAGGCUAACAACGAGAUUGUGUACAACAAGUUCCCAGGAAAAUAACUUGAAUACAUACACAAUCGAUAACUACAACGAGAGCACAACCAGUGCAAAACAACCAAGAGCAAGAUACAAGUAUAGAACAUACAAGUAAUGAUAAAGAGAGGAACAUCUAUCUAUUACAUUCAUUCAGCCUUUAUAAUACAAUUUGAUUAUACAUUAAGCUUCUAAACAUAAUAUAAAGCUUACAUCUUCC
rnacentral:lncRNA from 1 species